GCUGGGCAGGAUGGCCCAUGCCUGUAAUCUCAGCGGCCCAGGAGGCUGAGGCAGGAGGAUCUGAAAUUGAAGGCCAGCCUCAGCAAUGUCGGGAGGCCCUGAGCAAGUCAGCGAGACCCUGUCUCUA
rnacentral:sRNA from 1 species